rnacentral:rRNA from 1 species
UACGGAGGGGGCUAGCGUUGUUCGGAAUUACUGGGCGUAAAGCGCACGUAGGCGGCUUUGCAAGUCAGAGGUGAAAGCCCGGGGCUCAACCCCGGAAUUGCCUUUGAGACUGCAUCGCUAGAAUUGUGGAGAGGUAAGUGGAAUUCCGAGUGUAGAGGUGAAAUUCGUAGAUAUUCGGAAGAACACCAGUGGCGAAGGCGACUUACUGGACACAUAUUGACGCUGAGGUGCGAAAGCGUGGGGAGUAAACAGG